rnacentral:tRNA from 1 species
GCCGGAGUGGCGAAAUUGGCAGACGCGCACGGUUCAGAGCCGUGUGAGAGCAAUCUCGUGGGAGUUCAAAUCUCCCCUCCGGCA